rnacentral:rRNA from 1 species
GGCAUGCCUUACGACAUGCAAGUCGAAGGCAGCACGGGAGCAAUCCUGGUGGCGAGUGGCGAACGGGUGAGUAAUAUAUCGGAACGUGCCCAGUCGUGGGGGGAUAACGUAGCGAAAGCUACGCUAAUACCGCAUACGAUCUAUGGAUGAAAGCGGGGGAUCGCAAGACCUCGCGCGAUUGGAGCGGCCGAUAUCAGAUUAGGUAGUUGGUGAGGUAAAGGCUCACCAAGCCGACGAUCUGUAGCUGGUCUGAGAGGACGACCAGCCACACUGGGACUGAGACACGGCCCAGACUCCUACGGGAGGCAGCAGUGGGGAAUUUUGGACAAUGGGCGCAAGCCUGAUCCAGCAAUGCCGCGUGCAGGAUGAAGGCCUUCGGGUUGUAAACUGCUUUUGUACGGAACGAAACGGUGAGCUCUAAUACAGUUUGCUAAUGACGGUACCGUAAGAAUAAGCACCGGCUAACUACGUG